rnacentral:rRNA from 1 species
UACGAAGGUGACAAGCGUUAUCCGGAUUUACUGGGAAAAAAGGGCGUGUAGGCGGGUCUGCAAGUCGGAUGUGAAAUUUUCAGGCUUAACCUGGAAGGGUCAUCCGAAACUGCGGAUCUUGAGUACUGGAGUGGAAAGUGGAAUUCCUAGUGUAGCAGUAAAAUGCGUAGAUAUUAGGAGGAACACCAGUGGCGAAGGCGGCUAUCUGGACAGUAACUGACGCUGAGGCGCGAACGCGUGGGGAGCAAAC